rnacentral:rRNA from 1 species
AGUAACUGCGAGUGAACGGGGAAGAGUCCAUAGCCGAAUCCCGCGCUUCGCGGCGCGGGAAAUGUGGCGUAGGGGAGUCGACCUUCUUGUAGUGCGGCCGGCGGCGCAAGUCCCCAUGAGAGGGGCACUUGCCCGGAGAGGGUGCUAGGCCCGUAUCGCUUCCGGCUUCGCGCGACAAGUCGUCGGCCUCCCGGGAGUCGGGUUGCUUGGGAGUGCAGCCCAAAGUGGGUGGUAAACUCCACCUAAGACUAAAUAUCCCCGAGAGACCGAUAGCAAACAAGUACCAUGAGGGAAAGUUGAAAAGCACUUUGAAGAGAGAGUUCAAGAGUACGUGAAACCGUUCAGAGGUAAACCGAUGAGGCCUCGAAGUCCUAAGUCGGUGGUGCACUCAGGUCGUCGGUUCGGCCGGCACCGUUGGACGCUGCUCCACGAGCGGAGGAGACCCGACGGGUUCGCCGGCAGCGAGGACGCACCGCACUUGCAUCCCCCGUCUGACAGGGCGUCGCAACCGGUUGGGAGGCCGUCCGAGGAAGGGUCGAAAGGUAGCCGCCGUUCCCGUUUUUUUACGGAUCGGAGGUGUUACAGUCUUCCCGAUUCCCGACGGGUCGCCCGACCGGAAUGAUAAACCAAGUUCCCUUCCCACGAGCGGGAGCGGCGGAUCGCGGGUAGCGGUCUCGGCGCGCCGUGCCACGCUGCGCGUGAGCGGUUCGUCGGGGUCCGUCUAGCCUUCGAACUCUGCUGCGGCGGAGCCGGUUGUUGGCGGCGAGUAGGUCGGUUGCUCAUCGGACCCGUCUUGAAACACGGACCAAGGAGUCCAAAGCGCGUGCGAGUUCCCGGGACUUGAUUAGGCCCGAGGGCGCAAUGAAAGUGAAGGGCGGUGCGGCCGCCCGAGUUGGGAUCGAAUUUCCUGCGGGGAUUCGCGCACCAACGGCCCGUUCGCGUCGGUUACGGCGGGGCGGAGCUAGAGCACGCUCUUUGGGACCCGAUAGAUGGUGAACUAUGCCUGGGCAGGACGAAGCCAGGGGAAACUCUGGUGGAGGUCCGUAGCGAUUCUGACGUGCAAAUCGAUCGUCAGACCUUGGUAUA